rnacentral:lncRNA from 1 species
CUCGCACUGCGCUGUGCUCAGCGCCCAGGGAGCCCCGAAUCCGCCGAGUUCGGCCCUCGUUCGGCACAGAGACCCCCGACCCCCCCGGGUCCCCAAAUUACAGAGAACCCUUCCAUAUCUGUGCGAGCGGCGGACCGCCGUGCUGGGAUUCAGCCCCGGGGCUCACGUGGGGAAGGCAAGCAGCCCUAAUUACGCCGCGUUCUAAUUAAGCUCUGCGUUACGUUGAAGCCAAGCGCUGCUUUAAUUAAGACAUCACAUCAGGACCCUCACUGGUGAUGUUCUGACCCAGAGCCCCGUAACGAGGAGCCAGCAAUUAGCCGCGUGGCGGUCGGGACAGGAAGAACGCAGAGUCGUUAAUUACGCUAAUGACCAAAGAAGCGAUAAUUUCACUCAUUGCGGCUCCAUACAACGUUGGGUACAGAGAGAGGGGGGCAUUCAGCACCAACCCCCGACCAUCCAGCAGCGCGCCGCCAUCGAAGCCCUCGGCCCCCAAAGCUCGAAGCUCCCACCUGGAAGCCGGGCACCAAACCCCCCCACAGCCGCCUCCAUCCGAAAGCGCAGCACCGAACCCACGGGCUCCGCUCACCCCACCCACCAAGGGCGCAGUUUGGGGAGCAGGAGGCGUUUUUACGACACCUCCAUCCUAAAAGCCGACGUCGCGCCCUAUCCGCAGCCAGGUUCAUCCCUAACUUCACAUCCAGCCCUCCAGCCGUGGACGUUCCCGUCCAAAAUCCCAACACUGAGCCUCUACCCGCGGUCACAGCCAUCGCCAAUUCAACAUCAAGCUCCCCACCCGCGGGCGCUCCCAUCGAACGCUGAACCUUUCUCAGCUGUGCCAGCCCACGCUCGGAUCUCAGCCAGCAGAGCAACGACAGCACAGCACCCAAUGCAGGUACAUCUCCACCCCAUAGAUGAUGGAAGAGAAACACGCAGGGACAGCUCAGCCCAUGAGUGCUUGUAGGACACAGAGAAGGGCUGAAGCCACCACCAAGGGGUGACAGAGCAUAGGGCAGAUCUGACAGCUCUGGAGGCAGCGGGGUCCCGGUCUGCCAUCUCCUGUGGGGUCUCCUGUGGGGUCUCCUGUGGGGUCUCCUGUGGGGUCUCCUGUGGGGUCUCCUGUGGGGUCUCCUGUGGGGUCUCCUGUGGGGUCUCCUGUGGCACAGCCCUGCCCCACACCCUAUGGACGUUACCCUGGUUCACACGGCUGAGGGCACAGGCAGAAAUAAAUCACGGCCCCACGUCA